ACACUGCUACAAUAAAAUAUUUCAAAAACACCUACCAAAAACAGCUAAUCCAAACGGAGCCCUUGCCAUUUGAGCCCAAUGGGUACCCAAGUAUUUCCCAUCCUUUCCCAUUCAUUAAUGGGUAUAGGUGGGAUGUGUCCCAACUUAAACCCAAUACCAAAUUAUAAUACCCAUCCCGCCCAAACUUCCUUUGGGCAUGGGUAGCCCAUUGGGACUUGGGACAAAUUGUCAGCUCUACCUCUUUCCAAGUGUGAGGGACAAAAAUUAUACGCUUAGUAGCUGGAGGGUUAAAAAUCUACCUACUUAAUAAUUUGAGGGCCAUCCAGAUUUUUUUGGCCCGUAUAUGUGUGUUUAUACAUGGGAGCCGGGCAUAUCUCCAUUCUUCGCCCCCGACAAGAAGGCUUGUGAGUUGUAUGAAUCGUGAUCAUCCCUUGUCAAUCCAGCAAGUGAUCACCGCAUAAUCAAUUUAGCCAUCACGCAUGAGUAACUAUAAUCAACCAGUAGUUGCAUAUCCUCCACCACCACCACCAUCCCCAACAGUAAAAGCAGCAACGGAUCAGGGAAUGGCCGGAUACUCCUCAAACGUGAUGGCACCUCCCCCGAUUGGUUAUCCGGCCACAAGAGACGGACAAGGCCAUGAUGGCCAUGAGCUUCAUACUGCUACUACAUCCAGUAGAGGCGAAGGGUUUUGGAAAGGAUGGUAAAAGUUCAUUUUCUUCGACUACAGCGUUCCUUCCUUCUUUCCCUAUAUUGGUAUACUACUACUAUGCAGUACCAAAAGCAAAUACUAUAUACUAGUAGUAUUUUCGUUGUAUGUAUGGGGUAGUACCAUACCAACCAAGUGCAUAUAUUAAACUGAUAAGUUAUACCUAUUAUCUGCUGCUGCUGGGUCCUGGAUUUCUGCUUCGGCAGCUAGAAUUCCUGACAAGUGCUCCUAUAUCCCAGCUUCGAUCCCCUCGAAUUUGGAAAUAAAAUAAAAUACAAAUGCUCAUUCUCCUCCCGAA